rnacentral:rRNA from 1 species
UACGGAGGGUGCAAGCGUUGUUCGGAAUUAUUGGGCGUAAAGCGCGCGCAGGCGGUCGAAAAAGUCUAUGGGUAAAAGGCCGGGGCUCAACCCCGAGUACGCCCAGGAUACUGUUCGACUGGAGACACGUAGAGGCAAGCGGAAUUUCGGGUGUAGCGGUGGAAUGCGUAGAUAUCGGGGAGGAACACCAAUGGCGAAGGCAGCUCGCUGGGACGGUACUGACGCUGAGGCGCGAAAGCGUGGGGAGCAAACAGG